rnacentral:rRNA from 1 species
ACAUGCAAGUCGAGCGGAUGAAAGGAGCUUGCUCCUGGAUUCAGCGGCGGACGGGUGAGUAAUGCCUAGGAAUCUGCCUGGUAGUGGGGGACAACGUUUCGAAAGGAACGCUAAUACCGCAUACGUCCUACGGGAGAAAGCAGGGGACCUUCGGGCCUUGCGCUAUCAGAUGAGCCUAGGUCGGAUUAGCUAGUUGGUGAGGUAAUGGCUCACCAAGGCGACGAUCCGUAACUGGUCUGAGAGGAUGAUCAGUCACACUGGAACUGAGACACGGUCCAGACUCCUACGGGAGGCAGCAGUGGGGAAUAUUGGACAAUGGGCGAAAGCCUGAUCCAGCCAUGCCGCGUGUGUGAAGAAGGUCUUCGGAUUGUAAAGCACUUUAAGUUGGGAGGAAGGGUUGUAGAUUAAUACUCUGCAAUUUGGACGUUACCGACAGAAUAAGCACCGGCUAACUCUGUGCCAGCAGCCGCGGUAAUACAGAGGGUGCAAGCGUUAAUCGGAAUU